rnacentral:rRNA from 1 species
CAGCAGCCACGGUAAUACGAAGGGUGCAAGCGUUACUCGGAAUUACUGGGCGUAAAGCGUGCGUAGGUGGUGGUUUAAGUCCGUUGUGAAAGCCCUGGGCUCAACCUGGGAAUCGCAGUGGAUACUGGAUCACUAGAGUGUGGUAGAGGAUAGUGGAAUUUCCGGUGUAGCAGUGAAAUGCGUAGAGAUCGGAAGGAACAUCUGUGGCGAAGGCGACUAUCUGGGCCAACACUGACACUGAGGCACGAAAGCGUGGGGAGCAAACAGGAUUAGAUACCCCGGUAGUCCCUGUCUCUUAUAC